UACGAAGGGGGCUAGCGUUGCUCGGAAUUACUGGGCGUAAAGCGCACGUAGGCGGCUUUCUAAGUCGGGGGGUGAAAUCCUGGAGCUCAACUCCAGAACUGCCUUCGAUACUGGAGAGCUCGAGUCCGGGAGAGGUGAGUGGAACUGCGAGUGUAGAGGUGAAAUUCGUAGAUAUUCGCAAGAACACCAGUGGCGAAAGGCGGCUCAGCUGGCCCGGUGACUG
rnacentral:rRNA from 1 species